rnacentral:lncRNA from 1 species
AGAUUAGUUUUUUUCUUUUUCUUUCUUUUCUUUUUUCUUCAUUCUUUUUUUUUAUUGCAUUUCUUUUGAAAAUAAACAUGCUAUGAUGCAAAUGAUGCAGACAAGACUGGCAGGUUGUGCAUCUCGGACCACAGGAUCGAAGCUUCGGCUCGAACUCGGAACCACAAUUCAUCUGAAACCCAAAGUCAACUGAUAAACUGUCGUCUGAACCCAAUCU